rnacentral:lncRNA from 10 species
AGAUGAGAUGUCCUCAUGACCACGGGCCUCCCGUGUGUCCGUGGAACAACAGGGCAAGAAGGGGACCCAAACCCCACGCAGACCCAAGCAUGGAGGCAACUUGGUGGGGUUCACUCUGCACGAUACAAGAUGGCCCCACUCAGACACUCCUCACCAGGAGCGGAGAGGUGUGACCCGCUGUAUUUAAUACUCACCCCAUGCUCGAUAUUUCUUUGAAGUCUCAUCUCCAAAAUUCAAGCACAUUUUUCAUUCUACUCCUACAAUAGUCAUCAGCCUGAUAUAAAAAUACUUAGCAACUUAAUUACUUGACUCUUUUCUCCUAAACCUAGACAUUCGAGAAAGAUAAGCCAUGUCUGU